rnacentral:rRNA from 1 species
CCUACGGGAGGCAGCAGUGAGGAAUAUUGGUCAAUGGACGCAAGUCUGAACCAGCCAUGCCGCGUGAAGGAAGACUGCCCUAUGAGUUGUAAACUGCUUUUGUACGAGAGUAAACGCAGAUACGCGUAUCUUUUUGUAUGUACCGUACGAAUAAGGAUCGGCUAACUCCGUGCCAGCAGCCGCGGUAAUACGGAGGAGUCAAGCGUUAUCCGGAUUUAUUGGGUUUAAAGGGUGCGUAGCGGGUUGUAUAAGUUAGUUGUGAAAGUUCGAGGCACAACCUCGCAAUUGCCUUUGAUACUGGUCGGCUAGAGUGUAGUUGCGGUAGGCGGAAUGUGUGGUGUAGCGGUGAAAUGCUUAGAGAUCAUGCAGAACACCGAUUGCGAAGGCAGCUUACCAAGCUACUACUGACGUUGAGGCACGAAAGCGUGGGGAGCAAACAGGAUUAGAUACCCUGGUAGUC